rnacentral:rRNA from 1 species
GAGUUAAAUAGAGGUAGAGCUACUGAUUGGGUGCGGGGGAGUCAAAUCCUACCAAAUCCAGACAAACUCCGAAUGCUAUUUAAUAUACACGGCAGUGAGGCGCGGGGUGCUAAGGUCACGCGCCGAGAGGGAAAGAACCCAGACCAUCAGCUAAGGUCCCCAAGUUACAGUUAAGUUGAACUAACGAGGUCCGAUUGCAUAGACAGCUAGGAUGUUGGCUUGGAAGCAGCCAUUCAUUUAAAGAGUGCGUAACAGCUCACUAGUCGAGCGAUCGGGCAUGGAUAAUAAACGGGCAUAAAAUUGUACACCGAAGCUAUGGGUAAUAUUAAUAUUACGGUAGGGGAGCAUUCCAGCGGCAGCGAAGGUAUGACGUAAGUUGUGCUGGAGCUUCUGGAAAAGCAAAUGUAGGCAUAAGUAACGAUAAGGCAGGCGAGAAACCUGCCCGCCGAAAGGAUAAGGUUUCCUGAUCAACGCUAAUCGGAUCAGGGUUAGUCGGGGCCUAAGGAGAACCCGAAAGGGAUAUUCGAUGGACAACGGAUUAAUAUUUCCGUACUUUUUAUAACUGCGAUGUGGGGACGGAGUAGUGACACUGCCGCGAUCUGACGGAAUAGAUCGUUGAAGGCUUUAGGUAUAGGACCGGUAGGCAAAUCCGCCGGUCUUGCUGAAGGCUGAUAGUACCGCAAACCUUCGGGGGCGUGGAUAGUGCAGGUAAUCAGACUUCCAAGAAAAACCGCUAAGCUUCAGGUUAUAAAAACCCGUACCGCAAACCGACACAGGUAUCCGGGAAGAGAAUUCUAAGGCGCUCGAGUGAAUCAUGGCUAAGGAACUCGGCAAAAUGGCCCUGUAACUUCGGGAGAAGGGGCGCUGGUAGCAAUAUCAGCCGCAGUGAAAAGGCCCAGGCGACUGUUUAACAAAAACACAUGGCUUUGCAAAAUCGAAAGAUGAAGUAUAAGGCCUGACACCUGCCCGGUGCUGGAAGGUUAAGAGGGGAUGUCAUCCUCACGGAGAAGCAUUGAAUCGAAGCCCCAGUAAACGGCGGCCGUAACAAUAACGGUCCUAAGGUAGCGAAAUUCCUUGUCGGGUAAGUUCCGACCUGCACGAAUGGUGUAACGAUCUGGGCGCUGUCUCAGCCAUGAGCUCGGUGAAAUUGUGGUCCCGGUGAAGACGCCGGGUACCCGCAACGGGACGGAAAGACCCCAUGCACCUUCACUACAAUUUAACAUUGACAUUGGAUACAGGAUGUGUAGGAUAGGUGGGAGACUAUGAAGCGGCGUCGCCAGGCGUCGUGGAGUCAACGUUGAAAUACCACCCUUUCUGUAUUCGGUGUCUAACUCGGCCUAGUCGAGGACAUUGUUUGAUGGGUAGUUUGACUGGGGUGGUCGCCUCCAAAAAGGUAACGGAGGUUUUCAAAGGUAAGCUCAAUACGCUUGGUAACCGUAUGAGGAGUGCAAUAGCAUAAGCUUGCUUGACUGUGAGGCAUACAAGCCGAGCAGGGUCGAAAGACGGAUAUAGUGAUCCGGUGGUUCUCC